UCUUUGGAGAGUUUGAUCCUGGCUCAGAACGAACGCUGGCGGCGUGCUUAACACAUGCAAGUCGAACGGUAACAGGGACUUCGGUCCGCUGACGAGUGGCGCACGGGUGAGUAACACGUGGGUAUCUGCCUAUUAGUGGGGGACAACUUGGAGAAAUCCAAGCUAAUACCGCAUAAUCUCUACGGAGGAAAGCGGGGGAUCUUCGGACCUCGCGCUGAUAGAUGGGCCCGCGCCUGAUUAGCUAGUUGGUAAGGUAAUGGCUUACCAAGGCGAUGAUCAGUAACUGGUUUGAGAGGAUGAUCAGUCACACUGGAACUGAGACACGGUCCAGACUCCUACGGGAG
rnacentral:rRNA from 1 species